AUAAAAGCUAUGAUAGGGGCAAGUAGGUUUAUAAGUAUUUUAAAGAGAGUGGCAAUUGGUGAAAAGCCAUAGAUACUUUAUACUGAAACUCACCCUUAAGCUGUAGACCGAAAUUUAGUAAGUCGUGCCGGCAUAUGUCGUUAUUUAAUUGAGUAAAAUUUGGGUGGUACCGCGGACAGACUUCUCGCCCCAUGA
rnacentral:ncRNA from 1 species